UACAGGGGGUGCAAACGUUGCUCGGAAUCAUUGGGCGUAAAGCGCACGUAGGCGGUCUGUUAUGUCGGAUGUGAAAGCCCUUGGCUCAACUGAGGAAGUGCAUCCGAAACUGGCAGGCUAGAGUACUAAAGAGGGUCGCGGAAUUCCCGGUGUAGAGGUGAAAUUCGUAGAUAUCGGGAGGAACACCGGUGGCGAAGGCGGCGACCUGGGUAGAUACUGACGCUGAGGCACGAAGGCUAGGGGAGCAAACGGG
rnacentral:rRNA from 1 species